AGACUAGUUUCAGUUUUACACUAGGACUAUAUCAGCCUACUGAGCGUUCUCAACCACAUUAGUUAAGCUAUGUUACACAUUUUUAAAUAAAAUACUUUAAAAGUUUUGGUAUUUUUCUAUGGGGUCAAGUCAAGUGACCAACUAAUGUAUUUUAAACUUUUUUAUCUUUAUUCACAGAAAAGUAGAAUUUUCUGGCUGAAAAAUCUAUAUAUGAUUCCGAGAAACGGUUGGUCAAGUGUGGCAUAUAACUUUAAUCCAAUACUUGGGAGGUAGAAGUGUGUAGAUUCUGUGAGUCUUAGUACAAUCAGUUCUAACAUCAACCAGGCAUACAUAGUGAGAUUCUCUCCACACUCUCCUUUUUUUGUUUUGCUUUGUUUUGUUUUUGAGACAGGGUUUCUCUGUGUAGUCUUGACUGCCCUGAACUCACUCACUCUGUAGACCAGGCUGGCCUCAAACUCAAAAAUCCUCUUGCCCUCUGCUGGGAUUAAAGGCAAACACCAUGUUGGGCCAGACCCUGUCUCAAAAAAGAAAAAAAAAAAAAAAGACAUGAAGUUACUGGAGUAUGGACAGACAGCUAGAAGGAAGAAGGAGCUCUGGUGUCUCUGACAGUGGUUUCCAUGUCUUGUUUCCUUGUUAAUUUCUAAGAGUUUGUUUAGUGGAGGCUAAAUUCUGAGGAGGCGGAUAGGAAACGAGGGUGGGGAGGAUGUGGGGCUACAAUAACUGAAGGGAAUGGUUAAACAAAACUUACUGUGUGCACCCAGAGCUUCUGCCUUGACUCUUUGAACAUUAGUAACCUGGUUUUUAAUGUUCUAAGAAUAUCUGUAAGGAAAUUUUAAUUGCAUUUUUUUUGGUUGUUAUUGAACUGUAUUAUAUAACAUAAGCUAUAAGUUAAGGAAUCCUACAUUACCUGUAAAAGAGUUAUCAACAAAGUACUACUAUUUUUAGGGUUCUGGUGUUUUCUCAGACCAGAUGAAAAUCUAUGUAUCUGGCAAGUGCAAGUUACACUAUAUAUGGGAAAAACACCAAAGUGUUAACACAAUUCGAAGAAUGUUAAAUUGUUCCUAUGCAAGUCUCAAAGUUAGUAUCACAAUUACAUAUUUAAGUCAGUUGCUAAGGCUAAAAGCAGUGAGAUUUUAUUG
rnacentral:lncRNA from 1 species